rnacentral:rRNA from 1 species
ACGGGAGGGCAGCGGUGGGGAAUAUUGGGCAAUGGGCGAAAGCCUGACCCAGCAACGCCGCGUGAGGGAAGAAGAUUUUCGGAUUGUAAACCUCUUUUAUGUGGGACGAAGGAAGUGACGGUACCACAUGAAUAAGCCCCGGCUAACUACGUGCCAGCAGCCGCGGUAAUACGUAGGGGGCGAGCGUUAUCCGGAUUUACUGGGUGUAAAGGGCGCGUAGGCGGGGAUGCAAGUCAGAUGUGAAAUCCAUGGGCUUAACUCAUGAACUGCAUUUGAAACUGUAUCUCUUGAGUGCUGGAGAGGUAGAUGGAAUUCCUUGUGUAGCGGUGAAAUGCGUAGAUAUAAGGAAGAACACCAGUGGCGAAGGCGAUCUACUGGACAGUAACUGACGCUGAGGCGCGAGAGCGUGGGGAGCAAACAGGAUUAGAUACCCUGGUA